UUUUCGCAGAAACAUUUUUCAAACGUAAAUAGCAUGUCAAUUCGCGAAAUCAAAUUAGAACGCGAACAUCUCUUCAACGCUAGCCAUAACUAUUUUUAGUGCAAUUUUUUUUAAACUAAAAUUGUCAAGCCGUAUCAAAGUGUUUUUUAAAGGUGAGUACGUCAAAAGAAGCGGAAAUCUAUCUAUUUUCAUUUGCCACUGUUGAAUAAUAUUUUUUUUUAAAUUUGACAAAAGCACCAGUAACACUUUUGUCGAGGUACCUCGAUUGGCGGAAUUACUCUAACUUGGCAGAAGAAUGAUCUUGUGGAAAUAUACAGUAUUUUUCGAGAGCCAGCCGCUCGCCUGCGCAUAGGGGUGUCGUCAAAUUGUGUUGUACCUAAGAUGUAUUGUACCAAUAAUGUUGAAUAAAUUUAUUUAUUUAU